AGCAAAUUCAACAUGUUUCAGAUCUUUAAAGGCUCCUGAAGUAAACUUCUCUCUUGGAUGCUUUUCUUAAAUAAAUAGAGUCUAGUUACCUGACAUGUAACUCUUGCAGUUUGGUGAAAUGA